UCCUGAGUAGCUGGGAUUACAGGCACAGGUCACCAUGGCCGGCUAAUUUUGUAUUUUUAGUAGAGAUGGGGUUUCUCCAUGUUGGUCAGGGUGGUCUUGAACUCCCGACCUCAGGUGAUCUGCCCGCCUCGGCCUCCUAAAGUGCUGGGAUUAGAGGUGUGAGCCACCACAUCUGGCCCAGUCUCAGGUAUUUUAUAUAUAGAGAGAAAUAUAUAUAUAAACUAUAUGUAUAUACACCCACAUAUACAUAUGGUUUUAUAUAUAGAUAUAAAACUACUUAGAGAAACCUGGAUGAAUCUCAUAUUUUUGACCAAAAGAAACUAGACUACAGUGAACAAAUACUGUAUAAUUUAAUUUAUAUGAAGUUCAGGAACUGGCAAAAUGAAUCUGUGGUGACAUCAGCAAGAAUAGUGGUUGCCUGUUCUAGAGGGGGAUAUUACUUGAGGCACAAAAGAGGCUUCUAAGAUGCUGGAAACAUUGUGUCAAUCUGAGUGGUGGUUGCAUGUGUAUAUAAACACUUGUAAAAAUUUCUUCAAUUAAAAUUUAUUACAUGUGCUGGGUGCAGUGGCUCACACCUGUAAUCCCAGCACUUUGGGAGGCCAAGGCAGGUGGAUUACAAGGUCAUGAGUUCAAGAUCAGCCUGACCAACAUGGUAAAACCCCAUCUCUACUAAAAACAUAAACAUUAAAAAUACAAAAAUUGAGGCUGGGCACAGUGGCUCACGCCUGUAAUCUCACACUUUGAGAGGCCGAGGCAGGUGGAUCACAAGGUCAGGAGUUCGAGAUCAGCCUGACCAACAUGGUGAAACCCCGUCUCUUCUAAAAAUACAAAAAGUUAGCCAGGCAUGGUGGCACAUACCUGUAAUCCUAGCUGCUCAGGAGACUGAGGCAAGAGAAUUGCUGGAACCCAGGAGGCGGAGGUUACAGUGAGCUGAGAUCACACCACUGCACUCCAGCGUGAGGAACAGAGAGAUUCUGUCUCUAAAAAAAAUUUUUUUAAGUAUAUGUGUACAUAUAUAUACACUAAAAAAAAAAAAAAUGAAGGCCAUUCUCUCAGUGUCCAAAUCUAAAAAAGGAAGUUACUCAAUAUCUAAAGAUCUUUUUGGACCAAUUCCUGGAGCAAUGUGAAGGAAUUUCAGCUGAAUUUCUGUCAGGUUUAUAUUUAACCCUUUAUUUACCUGGCACUUAAAAAUGUACAUGAUUGGCCAGCCUUGGUGGCUCACGCCUGUAAUUGCAGCACUUUUGGAGGACAAGGCAGGCAGAUCACUUGAGGUCAGAAGUUCAAGACCAGCCUGGCCAACAUGGUGAAACCCCAUCAUUACUAAAAAUACAAAAAUUAGCUGGGUGUGAUGUUGGGCACCUGUAAUCUCAGUUACUCUAGAGGCAGGGAGAAUCACUUGAACCCAGAGGCAGAGGCUGCAGUGAGCCAAAAUCAUGCCACUGCACUGCAGCCUGGGUAACAGAGUGUGAAACCCCGUCGCAAAAAUAAGAAAAAAAAUGUACACAAUCUUAUUUGAUGCCCAUAGCAACCUUUAAUAAACUUUUGUGAGCAAAUACCAUGGCAGGUCAUUUGUGCUUAGAACUCGAAGGCACUGUUUAUUUUUUUCCCCAUCUUGGCUUUGAGACUAUAGACUUCAUCAAUUAGGGCGCCUUUAGUUCCAAGUGCCAAAAGCCAGCUUGACUGGCACAAGAAUAAAAAGGGAAUUACUUCAUGUACAUGUUCUGGAGAACAGCCCAAGGCUGGUGUAACAGUGGCUCUAGCUGGUGGGUCUAACAGCUAGAGCCAGGUGCUCUGUGUUGCCAAGAAUCCGUCUCCACUUCAUUUGUCAGCUUCACUUUUACUGCUGGUGCUGGCGCUGGCUUCAUUUUUUUUUUUUUUUUUUUUUUUUAUUUUGAGACAGAGUCUCCCUGGAUCACCCAGGCUGGAGUGAGUGCAGUGGUGCAAUCUUGGCUCACUGCAACCUCCACCUGCCGGGUUCAAGCAAUUCUCCUGUCUUAGCCUCCCAAGUAGAUGGAAUUACAAGCGCCUGCCACCACACUCAGCUAAUUUUUUGUAUUUUUGGUAGUGAUGGGGUUUAACCAUGUUGGCCAGGUUGAUCUCGAACUCCUGACCUCAAGUGAUCCACCUGCCUCAGUCUCCCAAAGUGGUGGGAUUACAGGUAUGAGCCACAGCACCUGACGGGUGCUGGCUUCAUUACUGAGAAGGCCGUCCUAUCAACAGUGAGAAGGGACUCACCAGCAGCUGCAGGAAUUUUUUCUAGUAAGUCCACUCCCUCUCAAACAAAAAAAAAAAAAAGAGAGAAUGAAAGAAAAAGCUUCUCUUUCUCAAUUUCAACAAACGUCUCAAGACCUAUUCUGAGUUGGCCCAGUUUAGCAUAUUCCAUAGCAGAUGCAAAAGCAUAGUGGAAGGCCUGGAAACAAGUUAGAGCUUAAAAAUUGGAGUAGCAAGAGAUCUGCUUAGCAGGAUAGGCAGGGCCACACCACAAAGUGCAUUGUGUCUUAAGGAAUGACUGGAUCAUGUAGGCAAAGGGGUUUAAGGAACAAAGUCAUCUGCUCCAUCUGAUCCCCAUCCAAACUCUUCAUCAAAACUGGAGGAAGUGGAAAAUGAAGAAUGAUUCUUGGCCAGGCUCACGCCUGUAAUCCCAGCACUUUGGGAAGCCAAGGCAGGUGGAUCACCUGAGGUUGGGAGUUCGAGACCAGCCUGGCCAACAUGGUGAAACCCCAUCUCUAUUAAAAAUUCCAAAAAUUAGCCAGGUGUGGUGACAGGUGCUUGUAAUCCCAGCUACUCAGGAGGCUGAGGAAGGAGAAUCACUUGAACCCAGGAGGCAAAGGUUGCAGUGAGCUGAGAUCACACCAGUACACUCCAGCCUGGGCGACAAGAACAAAAAUCCAUCUCAAAAAAAAAAAAAGAAGAAUGAUUCUUAUGAGAACAUUUUUGAGGCCGGGCGCGGUGGCUCAAGCCUGUAAUCCCAGCACUUUGGGAGGCCGAGGCGGGUGGAUCACGAGGUCAAGAGAUCGAGACCAUCCUGGUCAACAUGGUGAAACCCCGUCUCUACUAAAAAUACAAAAAAAUAGCUGGGCAUGGUGGCGCGUGCCUGUAAUCCCAGCUACUCAGGAGGCUGAGGCAGGAGAAUUGCCUGAACCCAGGAGGCGGAGCUUGCGGUGAGCCGAGAUCGCGCCAUUGCACUCCAGCCUGGGUAACAAGACCGAAACUCCGUCUCAAAAAAAAAAGAGAGAGAGAGAGAACAUUUUUGAAAUGGCAGAAUGUGGAAGAGAGAAUCCUCUCUUUCAUAAAAGCAAUGAUUAAAACUCUGGGAAUGAAGCAAAGGCUUCCAACUAUCCCAGGAGAGUUUAUUCAAGAAAAAUGACAAUCUCCUCUUCCGGUUUGGGCAUCCCGACAGCCACACGUGGUUAUGUGGCCGGAGUUUGGGCUGCCACUGUGGGAAAAGUAACUUCAGCUGCAGCCCCAAAGCUAGUGAGCCUAGCUGGAGCCAUGGAGAGCCAGAGCGUGGAGGAGCUGCUGGCAAAAGCGGAGCAGGACUAGGCAGAGAAGUUGCAGCGCAUCACGGUGCUCAAGGAGCUGGAGCUGGAGUUUGACCUGGGCAACCUGCUGGCUUCGGACCGGAACCCCCCCGACAGGGCUGCGGUGCGCCGGACCCACGCCGGAGGCCGAGCUGCGGGCCCUGGCGCGAAACAACACGCAGCUGCUCAUCAACCAGCUAUGGCAGCUGCCCACGGAGCGCGUGGAAGAGGCAAUAGUGGCGCGGCUGCCCAAGCCUACCACACGCCUGCCGCGAGAGAAGCCUCUGCCCCGGCCGCGGCCACUUACACGCUGGCAGCAGUUCGCGCGCUUCAAGGGCAUCCGUCCCAAGAAGACCAACCUGGUGUGGGACGAGGUAAGCGGCCAGUGGCGGCGGCGCUGGGGCUACCAGCGCGCCCGGCACGACACUAAGGAAUGGCUGAUUGAGGUGCCCGGCAAUGCUGACCCCUUGGAGGACCAGUUCGCCAAGCGGAUUCAGGCCAAGAAGGAACGAGUGGCCAAGAACGAGCUGAACCGGCUGCGUAACUUGGCCCGCACGCACAAGAUGCAGCUGACCAGUGCAGCCGGCUUGCACCCUACAGAACACCAGAGUAAGGAGGAGCUGGGCCACGCCAUGCAGGUGCCACGGUCUCCACAUCCUCUGUGGGGCGCUUCCAGGAACGUCUCCCCAGGGCGCCCCGGGGCUCCGGCAAGAAGAGGAAAUUUCAACCCCUUUUCGGGUACUUUGCCGCAGAGCAAAAGAAUCAGUUGGAGCUGCUUCGUGUCAUGUACAGCAAGAAGGCUCAGCUGGAUGUGAUGAGGGCCACCAAUAAGCAGAUGAGGGAGGACGACCAGGAGGAGGCUGCCAAGAAGAGGAAAAUGAGCCAGAAGGGCAAGAGAAAGGGAGGCCGGCAGGGGCUUGGGGGCAAGAGGAAAGGGGGCCCGCCAAACCAGGGAGGGAAGAGGAAAGGGGGCUUGGGAGGCAAGAUGAAUUCCGGGCCGCCUGGCUUUGGUGUCAAGAGAAAAGGAGGAUAGCGUCCAGGAGGAAAGAGGAGGAAGUAAUAGUUUCUCGCCGUCGUGUAAACCAAGAACUAUAAAUACUAAAUGUUAAGUUCUAGGUACUUGUACGGGGACUCAGAAGGACCUGGUCGCUGCCUUCACUGAGCUUGAAGGGACAGGACUGCCCUCCCCUCAAGAGAGUAGUAAGUGUUGGACUGCACAAAUUCAUGUUUUUCCCACAACCGAUACUUUGGCUGGAGAUGAAGAAAUUAUGUGAGGAUUUUAAGAAUUAAGGAAAUAAUUUGGUGGAAACUGGGGAAGAGUUCUGUUCUUAAACAGCCUUUUUUCUUCUUUUUAACUUUGGAAAUAGGGUGGGGGAAAGUUGGUCAUAUUUCACAGACUUAGAUUGGUGUAUAUGUUUCUGCAUUGUUUUUACAACAAGCUUGUACAUCAGAGCAGGGGAAGGAAAGACAACAGUUUCAGAAUUGAAUAGGCAAGUGACUGUUUAAAAGGUUAAGUAAUGAAGAUGUCUUGUCUAAAAAAAAAAAAAAGGAAAGAAAAGUGACAAUCUCAGUAAGAACAGCAAGAAUUGUGGCAUUUAACUUACCCUAUUUCCAUCCCCCUCCUCCCAGCUCCAUGGUAGCCUUAAAAACCAAAAGACUCAAAACUGUAUCAGGGAUUGGUGCGGUGACUUAUGCCUAUAAUCCCAGCCCUUUGGGAGGCCAAGGCAGGUGGAUCUCUUGAGCUCAGGAGUUCGAGACCAGCCUGGGCAACACAGUGAAACCCAACUCUACUAAAAAUACAAAAAUCAGCUGGAUGUGCAGGUGUACACCUGUAAUUCUAGCUACUCAGGAGGCUGAGACACAAGAAUCACUUGAACCAGGAGGCAGAGGUUGAGGUGAGCCGAGAUUGUUCCACUGCACUCCAGCCUGGGUGACAGAGCAAGAGCUGGUCUCAAAAAAAAAAAAAAAAAGAAAGAAAAACAAAAGAAAAAAGCUGGGGAAUGAAUUGUCUAUAGGGCCCUUUAAAAAGUUUUGAGUGGCUCACACCUGUAAUCCCAGUACUUUGGGAGGCCAAGGAGGGUGGAUCACUUGAGGCCAGGAGUUCAACAACAGCCUGGCCAACAUGGUGAAACCCCAUCUCUACUACAAAUACGGAAAUUAGGCCAGGUGCAGUGGCUCACACCUGUUAUCCCAGCACUUUGGGAGGCCAAGGUGGGUGGAUCACCUGAGGUCAGGAAUCGGAGACCAGCCUGGCCAACAUGGUAAAACCCCAUCUCUACUAAAAGUACAAAAAAUUAGCCAGGCAUGGUGGCACAUGCCUGUAAUACCAGCUACUUGGGAGGCUGAAGCAGGAGAAUUGUUUGAACCUGGGAAGUGGAAGUUACAGUGAGCCAAGAUGGCACCUUUGCACUCCAACCUAUGUGACAGAGUAAGACUCCCAUCUCAAAAAAAAAAAAAAAAUCUAUAUUCAAUAAUCUAAUGUUCCAUCUUAAGAAAUUAAUAAGUAAAAGAUCAAAUUAAACCCAAAGCAAGCAGAAGAAAGGAAAAUAAUAAAAAACGGAGCUUAAUAAAUGAAACAAUUAAAAAAAAUAGAGAAAAUCAGAAAUUUUUUUUUUUAAGAAUCAACAAAAGUGACAAAGCUUUAACUAUACUGACCAAGACAGACUGCUAAAAAUCGGGAAUAAAAUAGAAGCCAUUAAUACUGCCCUUACAGAAAUAAAAAGGAUUAUAAAAUAAUACUAUGAAAAUUAUAUGCCAGCAAACCAGAUAACCUACAUUAAAUGGACAAAUUCCUAGAAAAAUACUUCCAAAACUGGCUAGGCGUGGUGGCUCACACCUGUAAUCCCAGCACAUUGGGAGGCUAAGGUGGGCAGAUCACUUGAGGUCAGGAGUUCGAGACCAGCCUGGACAACAUGGCAAAAUUCUGUCUCUACCAAAAAAUACAAAAAAUUGUCUGGGUGUGGCAGCGCAUGCCUGUGGUCCCAGCUACUUGGGAGGUGGGAGGAUCACCUGAGCUCAGGAGACAAAGGUGCAGUUAGUCACGCUUGCACCACAGCCUGGGCAACAGAGACCCCCAUCUCAAAGAAAAACAUUACCAAAACAGACUCAAAGAGAAAUAGACAAUUUGAAUAGUUAAGAGAUUGAAUGAAAAAUCCAAAGACUUCCCACGAAGAAAUCCAAAGACUUCCCACCAAGAAAAACUGAGGAUUUGACAGCUUCACAUAGACUAUACCAUCACCAAGAAGUGUUAACCCCAGGAAUGCAAAACUGAUUCAACAUAGGAAAAUCAAUGUAAUAUACCAUAUCAAUAAAAUAAGUAGAAACAUCACAUAAUCUCAAAAGAAGCAGAAAAAAAACCACCAUCUGACAAAAUCCAACACCCAUUCAUGAUAAAAACACUCAACAAACCAGCAAUCCACAGGAAAUUCCUACCCUGAUAAAACGCAUCUACAAAUAAUCCACAGGCAACAUCAUACUUAAUCAUGAAUCGAUGAGUGAUUGUCUCUUGAAGCAAGGAACAAAACAACGAUGUCCACUCCCAUCUCUUUUUUUUUUCUUUUUUUUUGAGACAGAGUCUUGCUCUGUCACCCAGGCUGGAGCGCUGUGGCAAAACCUCUGCCUCCCAGGUUCAAGCCAUUCUCAUACCUCAGCCUCCCGAGUAGCUGGGAUUACAGGCACGCACCACCACGCCUGGCUAAUUUUUUUUUUUUUUUUUUUGUAUAAUUAGUAGAGACAGGGUUUUGCCAUGUUGCCCAAAUUGGUCUUGAACUCCUGAGCUCAGGCAAUCCACCCACCUCAGCCUCCCAAAGUGCUAGGAUUACAGGCGUGAGCCACAGCACCCGGCCACUCUCGUGUACUGGAGGUUCUAGUACAGUCAAGCCUAGAUAAUAAAAGGAAUCCAGAUUAGAAGGGAAGAUGUAAAAUGAUCUCUAUUUACAGAUUGUAUAAUCUUAUGUUGAAUCCUAAAGAUUCCACUAAUAAAACUAUUAGAGCUAGUAAAUAAGUUCAGCAGAAUUGUAGGGUAUAAGAUCAAUACACAAAACAGUUGUAGGACCGUCGAGGUGGUUCACACCUAUAAUCCUAGCACUUUGGGAGCUGAGGUGGAAGGAUUGUCUGAGCCCAGGAAUUCAAGACUAGCCUGAGCAACACAGCAAGACCCUGUCUUUGUAAAAAAUAUAUUUAUACUCCACAGCUUCUGCACGGCAAAAGAAACAGUCACUAGAGUGAAUCGGCAACCAACAGAAUGGGAAAAAAUUUUUGCAGUUUACCCAUCUGACAAAGGGCUGAUAUCCAGAAUUUACAAAGAACUCAAACAGAUUUACAGGAAAAAAACAAGCCCAUUCAAAAGUGGGCAAAGGAUAUGAACAGACACUUUACGAAAGAAGACAUAUAUGAGGCCAACAAUCAUAUGAAAAAAUGCUCAUCGUCACUGGUCAUCAGAGAGAUGCAAAUCAAAACCACAUUGAGAUACCAUCUCAUGCCAGUUAGAAUGGCGAUCAUUAAAAAAUCUGGAGACAACAGAUGCUGGAGAGGAUGUGGAGACAAAGGGACACUUUUACACUGCUGGUGGGAGGGUAAAUUAGUUCAACCAUUGUGGAAGACAGUGUGGCUAUUCCUCAAGGCCUUAGAAAUAGAAAUUCCAUUUGACCCAGCAAUCCCAUUACUGGGUAUAUAUCCAAAGGACUAUAAAUCGUUCUACUAUAAGGACACAUGUACACGAAUGUUCAUUGCAGCACUGUUUACAAUAGCAAAGACCUGGAAUCAACCCAAAUGCCCAUUGAUGAUAGACUGGAUUGGAAAAAUGUGGCACAUAUACACCAUGGAAUAUUAUGCAGCAAUCAGAAAUGAUGAGUUUGUGUCGUUUGUAGGGACAUGGAUGAAUUUGGAGAACAUCAUCCUCAGCAAACUGACACAAGAACAGAAAAUGAAACACCGCAUAUUCUCACUCAUAGGCGGGUGAUGAAAAAUGAGAACACAUGGACACAGGGCGGGGAGUACUAAACACUGGGGUCUAUUGGGGGGAAAAGGG